GAGUUUGAUCAUGGCUCAGAUUGAACGCUGGCGGCAGGCCUAACACAUGCAAGUCGAACGGUAGCACAGAGAGCUUGCUCUCGGGUGACGAGUGGCGGACGGGUGAGUAAUGUCUGGGAAACUGCCUGAUGGAGGGGGAUAACUACUGGAAACGGUAGCUAAUACCGCAUAACGUCGCAAGACCAAAGAGGGGGACCUUCGGGCCUCUUGCCAUCAGAUGUGCCCAGAUGGGAUUAGCUAGUAGGUGGGGUAACGGCUCACCUAGGCGACGAUCCCUAGCUGGUCUGAGAGGAUGACCAGCCACACUGGAACUGAGACACGGUCCAGACUCCUACGGGAGGCAGCAGUGGGGAAUAUUGCACAAUGGG
rnacentral:rRNA from 1 species